rnacentral:rRNA from 1 species
UCUACGGGAGGCAGCAGUGGGGAAUCUUAGACAAUGGGGGCAACCCUGAUCUAGCCAUGCCGCGUGAGUGAUGAAGGCCCUAGGGUUGUAAAGCUCUUUCAGCUGGGAAGAUAAUGACGGUACCAGCAGAAGAAGCCCCGGCUAACUCCGUGCCAGCAGCCGCGGUAAUACGGAGGGGGCUAGCGUUGUUCGGAAUUACUGGGCGUAAAGCGCACGUAGGCGGACCGGAAAGUUGGGGGUGAAAUCCCGGGGCUCAACCCCGGAACUGCCUUCAAAACUAUCGGUCUGGAGUUCGAGAGAGGUGAGUGGAAUUCCGAGUGUAGAGGUGAAAUUCGUAGAUAUUCGGAGGAACACCAGUGGCGAAGGCGGCUCACUGGCUCGAUACUGACGCUGAGGUGCGAAAGCGAGGGGAGCAAACAGGAUUAGAUACCCUGGUAGUCCACGCCGUAAACGAUGAAUGCCAGUCGUCGGGCAGCAUGCUGUUCGGUGACACACCUAACGGAUUAAGCAUUCCGCCUGGGGAGUACGGUCGCAAGAUUAAAACUCAAAGGAAUUGACGGA